GUGAGGAAUUUUCCGCAAUGGGCGAAAGCCUGACGGAGCAAUGCCGCGUGAAGGAUGAAGGCCUAUGGGUUGUAAACUUCUUUUCUCAGAAAAGAAUUAUGACGGUAUCUGAGGAAUAAGCAUCGGCUAACUCUGUGCCAGCAGCCGCGGUAAGACAGAGGAUGCAAGCGUUAUCCGGAAUGAUUGGGCGUAAAGCGUCUGUAGGUUGUUUAAAAAGUGUUCUGUCAAAGAUUAGGGCUUAACCCUAGAUAGGCAGAAUAAACUUUUAAGCUAGAGUUUGGUAGAGGCAGAGGGAAUUCCCGGUGGAGCGGUGAAAUGCGUAGAUAUCGGGAGGAACACCAAAGGCGAAGGCACUCUGCUGGGCCAAUACUAACACUGAGAGACGAAAGCGAGGGGAGCAAAUGGGAUUAGAAACCCGGGUAGUCC
rnacentral:rRNA from 1 species